rnacentral:rRNA from 1 species
CGUUCGUAGUUGAAUUUGUGCUCCAUACGGGUAGUACACCUAUAAUUAUGGUCUGUACAUUACCUUAUUGUAUGCGAGCGUAUUACCGGUGGAGUUCUUAUAUGUAAAUUGUACUUGUACUUUUUGCAUGUUCCUCCUAUUUAAACCUGCUUCAGUGCUCUUUACCGAGUGUUGUUGUGGGCCGGUACAAUUACUUUGAACAAAUUAGAGUGCUUAAAGCAGGCUCCAAAUGCCUGAAUAUUUUGUGCAUGGAAUAAUGGAAUAAGACCUCUGUUCUACUUUCAUUGGUUUUUAGAACAAGAGGUAAUGAUUAAUAGAAGCAGUUGGGGGCAUUAGUAUUACGACGCGAGAGGU